AGCGGCGGAUGGGUGAGUAACACGUGGGGAACCUGCCCCUAAGUCUGGGAUACCAUUUGGAAACAGGUGCUAAUACCGGAUAAUAAAGCAGAUCGCAUGAUCAGCUUUUGAAAGGCGGCGUAAGCUGUCGCUAAGGGAUGGCCCCGCGGUGCAUUAGCUAGUUGGUAAGGUAACGGCUUACCAAGGCGACGAUGCAUAGCCGAGUUGAGAGACUGAUCGGCCACAUUGGGACUGAGACACGGCCCAAACUCCUACGGGAGGCAGCAGUAGGGAAUCUUCCACAAUGGACGCAAGUCUGAUGGAGCAACGCCGCGUGAGUGAAGAAGGUUUUCGGAUCGUAAAGCUCUGUUGUUGGUGAAGAAGGAUAGAGGUAGUAACUGGCCUUUAUUUGACGGUAAUCAACCAGAAAGUCACGGCUAACUACGUGCCAGCAGCCGCGGUAAUACGUAGGUGGCAAGCGUUGCCCGGAUUUAUUGGGCGUAAAGCGAGCGCAGGCGGAAAAAUAAGUCUAAUGUGAAAGCCCUCGGCUUAACCGAGGAACUGCAUCGGAAACUGUUUUUCUUGAGUGUAGAAGAGGAGAGUGGAACUCCAUGUGUAGCGGUGGAAUGCGUAGAUAUAUGGAAGAACACCAGUGGCGAAGGCGGCUCUCUGGUCUGCAACUGACGCUGAGGCUCGAAAGCAUGGGUAGCGAACAGGAUUAGAUACCCUGGUAGUCCAUGCCGUAAACGAUGAGUGCUAAGUGU
rnacentral:rRNA from 1 species